rnacentral:rRNA from 1 species
ACUGAGACACGGUCCCCACUCCCACAGGAGGCGCCACUGGGGAAUAUUGUGCAAUGUGCGCACGCCUGAUGCGCCCCUGCGCCGUGUAUAAAAAAAGCCUUCUCGUUGUAAAGUACUUUCUCCGCGGAGAAGAGCGACAGGGUUAAUAACCCCGUCUAUUGAGGUUUCCCCCACAAAAAACACCGGCUAACUCUCUGCGACCACCCGCGGUAAUACAGAGGGUGUGCACGUUUAUCUCAAUUACUGUGCGUAAAGCGCACACACGCGGUCUGUUAAAUCUCAUGUGUAAUCCCCCGGCUUAACCUGUGAACUGCAU